GACGAACGCUGGCGGCGUGCUUAACACAUGCCAGUCGAACGGAAAGGCCCUGCUUUUGUGGGGUGCUCGAGUGGCGAACGGGUGAGUAACACGUGAGUAACCUGCCCUUGACUUUGGGAUAACUUCAGGAAACUGGGGCUAAUACCGGAUAGGAGCUCCUGCUGCAUGGUGGGGGUUGGAAAGUUUCGGCGGUUGGGGAUGGACUCGCGGCUUAUCAGCUUGUUGGUUGGGUAGUGGCUUACCAAGGCUUUGACGGGUAGCCGGCCUGAGAGGGUGACCGGACACGUUGGGCUUGAGAUACGGCACAGACUCCUAUGGGACGCAACAGUGGGGAAUAUUGCACAAGGGGCGGAACCCUGAUGCAGCAACGCCGCGUGCGGGAUGACGUCCUUCGGGUUGUAAACCGCUUUCGCCUGUGACGAAGCGUGAGUGACGGUAAUGGGUAAAGAAGCACCGGCUAACUACGUG
rnacentral:rRNA from 1 species